AGUACUAUGAUACAAUAGUUUAUGUAGGAAAGUUAUGACGGUGGCGAGUUCUGAAAGUUGGUGAUGCUUAUGAAAAUAAGUACGAAAACUAGGAAAGGAUAUAGCCUUUUGUCCAUGUAUGAAAAAUUGCCACUUGUUUUAGGUAUAGGAAUGUUUAUUCUUGCCUUGACCAAGCUUGU
rnacentral:sRNA from 1 species